rnacentral:miRNA from 1 species
CCAAGUUCUGUCAUGCACUGA